AAGGACGCUUGCGUGAAGCCCCGGAACCGGCCAACAUCUGGCAGGGGAGCCCCGUGUUUCCCCCUCAUGUAGGCCCGAUAGUCACGUGCCCUGCGAAGGCGGGCCGUGACAUUUAUGAACGUGCCUGGCCAAAGCAUACAUUGUUUUACAACGGAUUUUUUGAAUAUAUCCUUAUGAAAUGUUGUAUUUUGCUAUAACCGCUAUCUCCUUUAAAUGAUGCUAAUCGCAUGAAUUCUUAUGUUUUAUGAAAAUUCUGUUUGACUGAAAAUACUGCUUUGUUUUCCAAGCAUACAUAUUUUGGCAUGAUAAAUUGUGAGAUAAUACGCAUGUCAGCUUCUCAAACCCUGCAUAAACAUGGUUACCAUUAUGUUCGAUCCGGUAAGAUUAUGUAUGAUUACUUACUGAGCCGUGUAGCUCAUAUCCGUUCGUUUACUUUUUCUUUCAGAUCCUUACCACUGAU
rnacentral:lncRNA from 1 species